rnacentral:snRNA from 1 species
GGAUGUGAGAGUGAUCUGGCUGCAAUAUCUUCCACCCUCGGUGUCCUUGUCUAUGGACGGGGUUGAUCAUGGCUUCAUUCAUCUGCUCUGACUGGCGAGGCCGACGUCCCCUUGUCCCCUUCUUCCCUUACACUCCACAUGCAUCCCUCCAGGACACGUGUACUCGGUGGGAGAGGAUGGACUUCCCUGAUAAGAGAGAAUGGUUCUUGGUCAAGGGUAUGUGAGAAGCUGCACUCCUCUGCAAGGACCUCCAAACAAGUUCCCUAAAAGGACCAACUUCAUAGGAUUAUUCUAAGCAUCAAAUGACCAUACAUAUAGCGCGUAGAAUAAUACCAACCCCUAAUAGGCACUAUAAAGUGUUAAAGGGUCAAUUAUUUUCU